AGAGUUUGAUCCUGGCUCAGAUUGAACGCUCGCUGCAUGCCUUACACAUGCAAGUCGAACGGUAACGCGGGGCAACCUGGCGACGAGUGGCGAACGGGUGAGUAAUAUAUCGGAACGUGCCCAGUAGUGGGGGAUAGCCCGGCGAAAGCCGGAUUAAUACCGCAUACGACCUACGGGUGAAAGCGGGGGAUCGUAAGACCUCGCGCUAUUGGAGCGGCCGAUAUCAGAUUAGGUAGUUGGUGGGGUAAAAGCCUACCAAGCCGACGAUCUGUAGCUGGUCUGAGAGGACGACCAGCCACACUGGGACUGAGACACGGCCCAGACUCCUACGGGAGGCAGCAGUGGGGAAUUUUGGACAAUGGGCGCAAGCCUGAUCCAGCCAUGCCGCGUGCGGGAAGAAGGCCUUCGGGUUGUAAACCGCUUUUGUCAGGGAAGAAAUCUUCUGAGCUAAUACCUCGGGAGGAUGACGGUACCUGAAGAAUAAGCACCGGCUAACUACGUGCCAGCAGCCGCGGUAAUACGUAGGGUGCGAGCGUUAAUCGGAAUUACUGGGCGUAAAGCGUGCGCAGGCGGUCUUGCAAGACAGGUGUGAAAUCCCCGGGCUUAACCUGGGAACUGCACUUGUGACUGCAAGGCUGGAGUACGGCAGAGGGGGAUGGAAUUCCGCGUGUAGCAGUGAAAUGCGUAGAUAUGCGGAGGAACACCGAUGGCGAAGGCAAUCCCCUGGGCCUGUACUGACGCUCAUGCACGAAAGCGUGGGGAGCAAA
rnacentral:rRNA from 1 species